AAAUGUGGCAGGGGAGACACCAUGAUCAGGAAGGUGGUUUUCCAAGGACGGCUUGUCUGUUGCACUUGGGAUGUGCUAGUCCCUGCGAUUUCCCCAAAUUCAGGAAACUUGACUGCGUAAUUUGUGGUAGUGGGGGACUGCAUUCAUACUCUCCCCUG
ensembl:snRNA U1 U1 spliceosomal RNA